AUGACGGUAUGAACACUUCGAAUAAUCAACUGGUAACUAAGAAAACCAAGAAACCAGAAAACUCUUUACUUGUAAUUAACACUUACAAAUUUUGAUUGGAACAAUUAUUUGAAAAUCAAACUGACAGAGUGACGAUGUAAACACUUCGAAUAAUCAACUGUAACUGAAAAACAAGACAAUUUUUCUAUGUCUCUAGGCUUAUUUACAACUAAAUCCCCCACGGGGCGAUAGUCACAUGACAGUUGGCUCCUGUGCAGUUUUGGGGUUCUCGCCAGCGUACGUGAGAGAACGUGGAUUUUGGUGAUCGCUGAUGUCUUGAUUUCUCAUAUUCCUUUCUUGGUGCUGAUUGGAACAUUUAAAGUACGUGAUAAAAUGUGGAUAUUGUUCUGGUUUCGUCUGUUGCUGAAAUUGCGUCUGCGUUGCGUCUGGAACCUUUCCUGCUGAUGCCUGUGGGAACGUUUAAGGCACGUGGCAGCGUGUCCUUGUUGGAGAUGCGCCUGGGGACCUUGUGGAACUUUCCGUGCUGAUGCCGGUAGUAGCGUUUAAGCCACGUGUAUUGUUAGCAAGGGUGCCUCUGGAACCUUCCUUGUAAGUUUUAGUGGAGGUGGUAAUGGGACUUCUAUUGUUCUGUGGAGCUGCUGCACGUGUAGCACGUGUUGUUUCGUGUGUCUUCCAUAAGGUAUUUUGUUUAAUAGUGUGCAAGUGUUCGUGAUGGAGGCUCUUGUGUCUUCUAAUCCAGUCGUGGAAGAAGAAGAAGAAGAGGAGGAAAAGGAAGAAUCAGAAGCAUAAACCACGCAAGAGAAAUCCAAAUCAUUUGCGAAGGAGAGAGAGAUGAGAUUACUGAGGGAACUAUCCGCUACUCAAGCUGGUAUAAUAGCCUCGUCGUCGGUGUCUCAUUCUGGUUAUGUUGGUUAUGGACGUGGAAGUACCUGCACUUGUCCAACCUGUACAAGUAUGUAUUAUUUUAUUUAUUUUAACUUUGUCCUCUUUCCUAUGGUCUUUCGUCUGUUUGUCUGCUUGGUUUUGUAUGUAUUGUUUUAGCGCAAGAGGAGGAGAGAUUCCAAAAAUGUGUGGAUGGCUUGUGAAGUCGAUACAGAUGACUGUGCGAAGCCUCACUUCCCUGAGGAGACUUCUGCCGGAGUCCUGGAUGCUCUCCUGUGUCACUGCUCUUCUGGUCAGAGCAAUCUUCUCUGAUGUAUGCUCCCAGUAUAUGGGGAGGCUUCGUGAAAUGUGUCUUGACGUUCUGUGUGUUUAUGUUGUUUGACAAUAGUGUCGUGCUUAGGUUAUUUGAUGAUGUAAUUUUAUAACUUUACAGAUACAUUUUGCUCAUUUGGUUAAUAUUUCCAUCUGAUUGUUGCCUCCGGUGUUUGGUUUGAUUUAUUAUUUUCCGGUGUAGGUUUUGGUGAUUAUGAUUUUAAGUGAUGAAUACGGAGGUGUCUUCGUCAAAGGUUCCUUAUGCAGACUGUCCCACGCAAGACGGGUUCCAAAAUGUGUGAAUGGUCCCAGAAGGCGUAGUCAACAUGUGAAGUAUCGUGGGCAAGAACGAAGAAUCGUGUAACAUUUGUGUUGAUUAUGUUCGAUGCUGAUAUAUAUAUAUAUAUAUAUAUAUAUUAUUUUGUUGGUU